GGGCGCACGGUGGAUGCCUUGGCACUAGAAGCCGAUGAAGGACGUUACUAACGACGAUAUGCUUUGGGGAGCUGUAAGUAAGCUUUGAUCCAGAGAUUUCCGAAUGGGGAAACCCAGCAUGAGUUAUGUCAUGUUAUCGAUAUGUGAAUACAUAGCAUAUCAGAAGGCACACCCGGAGAACUGAAACAUCUUAGUACCCGGAGGAAGAGAAAGAAAAUUCGAUUCCCUUAGUAGCGGCGAGCGAAACGGGAAGAGCCCAAACCAACAAGCUUGCUUGUUGGGGUUGUAGGACACUCUAUACGGAGUUACAAAGGACGACAUUAGACGAAUCAUCUGGAAAGAUGAAUCAAAGAAGGUAAUAAUCCUGUAGUCGAAAAUGUUGUCUCUCUUGAGUGGAUCCUGAGUACGACGGAGCACGUGAAAUUCCGUCGGAAUCUGGGAGGACCAUCUCCUAAGGCUAAAUACUCUCUAGUGACCGAUAGUGAACCAGUACCGUGAGGGAAAGGUGAAAAGCACCCCGGAAGGGGAGUGAAAUAGAACCUGAAACCGUGUGCUUACAAGUAGUCAGAGCCCGUUAAUGGGUGAUGGCGUGCCUUUUGUAGAAUGAACCGGCGAGUUACGAUUUGAUGCAAGGUUAAGCAGUAAAUGUGGAGCCGUAGCGAAAGCGAGUCUGAAUAGGGCGUUUAGUAUUUGGUCGUAGACCCGAAACCAGGUGAUCUACCCUUGGUCAGGUUGAAGUUCAGGUAACACUGAAUGGAGGACCGAACCGACUUACGUUGAAAAGUGAGCGGAUGAACUGAGGGUAGCGGAGAAAUUCCAAUCGAACCUGGAGAU
rnacentral:rRNA from 1 species